rnacentral:rRNA from 1 species
UAACACAUGCAAGUCGAACGAGAAAGUCCCGCUUCGGUGGGAUGAGUAAAGUGGCGCACGGGUGAGUAACGCGUGGGUAACCUGCCCUUGAAUCCGGGAUAACUUCGCGAAAGCGGUGCUAAUACCGGAUAUCGUUUCAUGAACCUUGGUUUUUGAAAUGAAAGGUGACCUCUCCAUGGAAGUUGCCGUUCAAUGAGGGGCUCGCGUCCCAUUAGCUUGUUGGUGGGGUAAUGGCCUACCAAGGCCGUGAUGGGUAGCUGGUCUGAGAGGAUGAUCAGCCACACUGGCACUGAAACACGGGCCAGACUCCUACGGGAGUGCAGCAGUGAGGAAUUUUGCACAAUGGGGGAAACCCUGAUGCAGCAACGCCGCGUGAGUGAAGAAGGCUUUCGGGUCGUAAAGCUCUGUCAAGUGGGAAAAACGUCUUUCGGUUAAUAGCUGAAAGAUCUGAUAGGUACCACUGGAGGAAGCACCGGCUAACUC